GUUGCUACUGUAAUUGGAGCAGUAUCUAGCUUCAUUGCUUACCAGAAGAAGAAACUCUGUUUCAAACAAAGUGCAGAUCAAGAGAAUGUGAAUAUGGAAAGCCAUCGUGGAGCACAAUCUGAGCCACCCGUACAGCGCACGCUUCUGGAGAACUAAAUCAAGGAAAACGUGAUGAAGAAGAGACCAUUAAAACUGGAUAGAGAGCCUGCUUUCUGCCUGAAAAAAAAAGAAAACCAAAAAGUAUAAUGUAAACAACAGAGUCUGAAGAUGAAUGAGAAAAUAGUCCUUGUUUGAAGCAUCUUUGGGAGUGUGACUUAAAAGACCUGAGUACUUCUGUAUGAGCAGGUCACCUGUACCAAAGAGAUCAAUGUCUAACCUCUGCCCACAGGAAGGAUGGGGCUACAACUGUGGUAAGUUGUGACUGUCCUCUUGUUUUCC
rnacentral:lncRNA from 1 species